GAAAAUCUGUUCAUUGAUCCUUCACAGGUUAUUAAAGGGGCUUUACAAUUCCUAGUUGAUUCUAGAGAUGUAGUGCAGACGAAGGAAGUCAGUUCAAGUGAUGGGAAUCCAGUGUCUACCAUAAAAAAGUGGAAGAAGCUUGAAGAAGCCCUUGUUAUGAGAAGAAUAGUUGAAAUUUGCAUAGAAAUGGGAUUUAGAAGGGUGGUCUUUGAAGGUGCCUUAGCAAUCAUCAAUGCAGUGAAGGGUGAAGUAGAGUGCUGGACUUGAUAUGGUUAGAUAGUGGAAGAUGUGAAGAAGAGCCUAAGGGAGCUGUUACACUGGAAGAUCAACUUUGUUCGCAGAGAGGGCAAUGAGAUUGCUCAUAAGCUGGCAAAAAUUGCUUUAAAAUUAGAUAAUUUUAUAUGUUGGGUAGAAGAAUGUCUUGAUUUCAUUUCAAGUUUGAUUUUUGCUGAUAUGUCUUGUAAUGAAUAAUUUCUAUGAAUGAAUGAGAGGUUUUUUUUUU